GAUGAACGCUGGCGGCGUGCUUAACACAUGCAAGUCGAGCGAAGCACUUAAGUUUGAUUCUUCGGAUGAAGACUUUUGUGACUGAGCGGCGGACGGGUGAGUAACGCGUGGGUAACCUGCCUCAUACAGGGGGAUAACAGUUAGAAAUGACUGCUAAUACCGCAUAAGACCACAGUACCGCAUGGUACAGUGGUAAAAACUCCGGUGGUAUGAGAUGGACCCGCGUCUGAUUAGGUAGUUGGUGGGGUAACGGCCUACCAAGCCGACGAUCAGUAGCCGACCUGAGAGGGUGACCGGCCACAUUGGGACUGAGACACGGCCCAGACUCCUACGGGAGGCAGCAGUGGGGAAUAUUGCACAAUGGAGGAAACUCUGAUGCAGCGACGCCGCGUGAAGGAUGAAGUAUUUCGGUAUGUAAACUUCUAUCAGCAGGGAAGAAAAUGACGGUACCUGACUAAGAAGCCCCGGCUAACUACGCGCCAGCCGCCGCCGUAA
rnacentral:rRNA from 1 species